CCUGCACAGAUACUGCCCUGUGUCUCUCUGAGCUGAAGUUAGCACAGUCUUCUGUUCACCUCCAGAGUUCCUCCUCCUCUGUCUCCAGCAAAAUGAGUUUCUCCUCAUCUUACAGCGUCCGCUCCUCCAGCCACGUGCCCUCGGCGUACGUCUCCCAGACCCGCUCAGCUCCCAUCUACCGAGCUGCCAGCAUUUUCGCGGGCGCUGGGGGUAGGGGGGCUCGUGUCUCCUCCGCCCCCGGGAGUACCCUUUCUUCCAGCAUCCAGGUGAGUGCCAGCAGCGAUGCGGGCGCCAUCAUGGGCAACGAGAAGAUGGCCAUGCAGAACCUAAACGAUCGGCUGGCCAGUUACCUGGAGAUGGUGCGAAACCUGGAGCAAGCUAACAGCAAGCUGGAGAUCAAGAUCCGGGAGGCCCUGGAGAAGAGUGGCCCGGAAGUGCGUGACUACAGCCGGUACAAUGCCAUCCUGGAUGACCUGCGCAAGAAGGUGUUCGAUGCUACGGUGGACAAUGCUCGUCUUGUGCUCCAGAUUGACAACGCGCGCUUGGCUGCUGAUGAUUUCAGAGUCAAGUAUGAGUCUGAGCUCUCCAUCCGGCAGUCAGUCGAGGCCGAUAUCAUAGGUCUCCGGAAGGUGAUCGAUGACACCAACAUCGGCCGCCUGAACCUUGAGAGUGAAAUCGAGGCUCUGAAGGAGGAACUGAUCUUCCUCAAGAAGAACCAUGAUAGUGAAGUUCUGGAGCUGCACAACCAGAUCUCUCAGUCGGGAGUGCAGGUGGAUGUGGACGCCCCCAAGGGACAGGACCUGUCUCAGGUCUUGGCAGAGAUCAGAAGCAAAUAUGAGAAAAUGGCACAGAAGAACCAGGAGGAGCUGAAAGCCUGGCAUGAAACGCAAUUAUCAGAGGUCCAAGUGCAGGUGACGCAGAACACGGAGGCCCUGCAGGGUGCCGUCACAGAGGUGAAUGACCUGCGUAGGCAGGUGCAGACGCUGGAGAUUGAGCUGGAGUCCCAGAAGAAUCUGAAAGGCUCCCUGGAAGGCACACUGCAUGACACAGAGCUGCGCUACAACAUGGAGGUGGAGAAGUACAACACCAUCAUUGUGCAGCUGGAGGCCGAGCUGAUGCAGCUCCGCAACAGCAUCCAGCAGCAGUCUCAGGAAUACGAGACCCUGCUGAACAUCAAGAUGAAGCUCGAGGCUGAGAUCGCCACCUACAGGAGGCUGCUGGACGGCGGCGACUUCAAGCUACAGGAUGCCCUGGAGGAUCAGAAAACCACCAAGACCAAAGUGAUGACUGUGACACAGACCCUAGUGGAUGGGAAGGUGGUGUCCACAGAGACGAAAGAGAGGACAACAUAAACGUCCAUAGCCACUCAUGCCCCAGCCCCAUGCCCAAAAGUGUGGCCUAGUACUACUCUUUUUCAGCAACCAAUGACACAGCAUGACUGGAUAUUGACACCCCUUCCCUAGAUUUAUCAAAUAAAAAUAUGAGGUGAAGAAAUAUGGAUCAGUAGUUACAGUACAAAUGAUGGCCAUUUCCUGCAAUUGGUCAUUUGACCCCUUCCAACCACUGUUACAGAUUUUAUAAUCAUCAACCAAGACUGUCAACUGUUAAUCACUUGUAUGGGGUGUCUCAAUAAAGGUGCUUGAGUACAUUUUUA